rnacentral:rRNA from 1 species
GAUGAACGCUAGCGGCAGGCUUAAUACAUGCAAGUCGAGGGACAGCACAGGUAGCAAUACUGGGUGGUAACCGGCAAACGGGUGCGGAACACGUACACAACCUUCCUUUAAGUGGGGGAUAGCCCAGAGAAAUUCGGAUUAAUACCCCGUAAUAUAGUUGAAUGGCAUCAUUUGAUUAUUAUAGCUACGGCGCUUAAUGAUGGGUGUGCGGCUGAUUAGAUAGUUGGCUGGGUAACGGCCCACCAAGUCUACGAUCAGUAGCUGAUGUGAGCGCAUGAUCAGCCAACCGGGCAAUGACACACUGGCCGGGCUCCUACGGGAGGCAGGAGUAAGGAAUAUUGGUCAAUGGACGCAAGUCUGAACCAGCCAUGCCGCGUGAAGGAUUAAGGUCCUCUGGAUUGUAAACUUCUUUUAUUGGGACGAAAAAGGGCCUUUCUAGGUCAACUGACGGUACCAGAUGAAUAAGCACCGGCUAACUCCGUGCCAGCCGCCGCCGUAAUAC